rnacentral:misc_RNA from 1 species
CCCUCCCCUAAAUCACUCCAAAAAAAACAAUCCCCAAUUCUACACAAGUGUUUCUACACUAACAAAGCAACAGCUCCUUAACGAAUUCCCAACUUUACACGAGCUCGUCUCUCGAGGUUAAAUGUUAUUACUUGGUAAGAUUCCGGACCUCGCCAAGUGUUUUGAAAACCCGCAACGCUCGCAAAGGUGGAUAGUGAGAAUAAUAAGUGAAGAGACAGACUUGUCCAAAACGCCCACCACGAAGGUGCAUAGUGAGAAGAGUAAGUCAAGAGAUAGACUUGUCCAAAAAGAAACGGAAGAGAAAGCGUGGGGAGACGCUCACGAAGGUGCAUAGUGAGAAGAGUAAGUCAAGAGACAGACUUGUUCGAAAAGAAACAGAAGAGAAUGCUUGGGGUUACACUCACGAAGGUGCAUAGUGAGAAGAGUAAGUCAAGAGACAGACUUGUUCGAAAAGAAACAAAAGAGAAUGCUUGGGGAGAUAGAAGUGUGAGAUAGUUCUCAAGCUAAGAAAGUUGUAAAAGCUAAGAACUAGCAAGUAAUCGUCCAGGAUUCCUCGACCAGGACUUGAAAUCGUCGAGGGAAAAAAAUCGGUUCCGAGGAAUCGUCGAUCCGGACUUGGAAUCGUCGAGAAAAGUUUACCGGGUCCGAGGAUUUGUCGACCAGGAGUGGAAAUCGUCGAGAAAAAUCUAUCGGGUCCGAGGAAUCGUCGACCAGGACGAGGAAUCGUCGACCGGGUCCGAGGAUUUGUCGACCAGGGGUUGAAAUCGUCGACCAGGUCCGAGACUUCAUCGACCGGGUCCGAGGAUUCGUCGAC